rnacentral:tRNA from 1 species
UUCCUGGUGGUCCAGUGGCUAAGACUCUGCACUUCCAAUGCAGAGGGUGCAAGUUCCACCCCUGAUCAGGGAA